UCAUUCUUCCACUUGGGUGGUUUCUCAAAUCUUCCCACAUACGUCAUUUUUGAGUUCAUUUGCUCUCAAACCCUUGCUGCAAAUUCAAUUGUGCAUCUCAGUUGCAUCUCAGGUCUUUUGCGACAUUGGAUCUCUGCCUAGCACUGCAUACACACAAACAUAUCCGUUGCAAUCCUCCUGAAUUUGAGCAUUGGACCCUGGCAAUGGAUCUACUGCUCGUCCAAACAAUUAUCCAGAAAAAGAAAGAAAUGCAGUGGGGAAAGAAAGUUGUACCAGACCAUUUCAUACAUGAUUGAUGCCACCGUAGCUAUUCAAAAGGAAUUUGGAUGUGGGGUAACUUAGGCUGAGAUGUACGAGAGGUUCCUGCAUCUUGAGAGCAGGUAUAACCGAUGACACUUUGUAGGAAACUGAGGCAAAUGUUGUGGUAGCUCCUCACCAAGUGUGGCGAGAGAUUUUUAAGGUAUGCAACACUAUAAUUAAUUCACUAUUCCCACAGAAAAAUAACCUAGCUGAGGCUUACUACCACCCAUCUACAAUGAGCUUGUAACUCUUUUCGGUGAUGAGCAAGCGAAGGUUGGGGAAGAUGAGCCAACUUUAAUCAUUAGUGAUAAAGCUCCUCUGCAUGCUCCACUUAUCUCACCGCUUCAAGCUUGGAGUGAAGAAGUGAACUCCCCUGUAUGGCCAGUUAAGGAGAAAGCACGACGUAAACUGUUCGUGGACCCCAAUCAUGAUAGUGAUCGAUGUUCGACCAAUGAAAAAGAAAUCCAUUCCCAACGGCCAAAUGGAAAUCAAAGUCGUCGGACUCCUGCAAAUGAAGAGCUCAGAGGUUGCAUCUAAGCCAUACUAUUCACCCCAAGGAAGCUCGUGUGCAUCCUCCAGUCCUAUCGGGUGGAGGGCGAAUCUGGAUCCCUGAACCUAGGUGGAUGGUUUUUGUCUGCAUCUCAAGAAAGUCUGUGCUUUUACUUCUCUAUAGCCUAUCCUCAACUUAUGUUUAGUUUUUUGGCUAGUUGCUUGGAUGUGCUAUAUAUGUUAUUAACGCUACUUGGAUGUGUGUUGUAUAUAUUAUGAAUGUAGUUUGGACGUGUGCUAUAUAAUGUAUUUUGGUGGUCAGAA